GCGGAGGAAAAGAAACCAACAGGGAUUGCCCCAGUAACGGCGAGUGAAGCGGCAACAGCUCAAAUUUGAAAUCUGGUCCCCUUGCGGGGCCCGAGUUGUAAUUUGAAGAGGAUGCUUCUGGCAAGGUGCCUUCCGAGUUCCCUGGAACGGGACGCCGCAGAGGGUGAGAGCCCCGUACGGUCGGACGCCGAGCCUAUGUGAAGCUCCUUCGACGAGUCGAGUAGUUUGGGAAUGCUGCUCAAAAUGGGAGGUAAACCCCUUCUAAAGCUAAAUACCGGCCAGAGACCGAUAGCGCACAAGUAGAGUGAUCGAAAGAUGAAAAGCACUUUGAAAAGAGAGUUAAAAAGCACGUGAAAUUGUUGAAAGGGAAGCGCUUGCGACCAGACUCGCGCCCGCCGGAUCAGCCGUCGCUUGUCGGCGGCGCACUCCGGCGGGCUCGGGCCAGCAUCAGUUCGCCUCGGGGGGAGAAAGGCGGCAGGAAUGUGGCUCUUCGGAGUGUUAUAGCCUGCCG
rnacentral:sRNA from 1 species